rnacentral:rRNA from 1 species
CAAAGGAGCAAUCCGCUGAAAGAUGGGCUCGCGUCCGAUUAGGUAGUUGGCGGGGCAACGGCCCACCAAGCCGACGAUCGGUAGCCGGACUGAGAGGUUGAACGGCCACAUUGGGACUGAGACACGGCCCAGACUCCUACGGGAGGCAGCAGUGGGGGAUAUUGGUCAAUGGGGGAAACCCUGAACCAGCAACGCCGCGUGAGGGAAGACGGUUUUCGGAUUGUAAACCUCUGUCCUCUGUGAAGAUGAUGACGGUAGCAGAGGAGGAAGCUCCGGCUAACUACGUGCCAGCAGCCGCGGUAAUACGUAGGGAGCAAGCGUUGUCCGGAUUUACUGGGUGUAAAGGGUGCGUAGGCGGCUUUGCAAGUCAGAAGUGAAAUCCAUGGGCUUAACCCAUGAACUGCUUUUGAAACUGCAGAGCUUGAGUGGAGUAGAGGUAGGCGGAAUUCCCGGUGUAGCGGUGAAAUGCGUAGAGAUCGGGAGGAACACCAGUGGCGAAGGCGGCCUGCUGGGCUCUAACUGACGCUGAGGCACGAAAGCGUGGGUAGCAAACAGGAUUAGAUACCCUGGUAGUCCACGCUGUAAACGAUGAUUACUAGGUGUGGGUGGACUGACCCCAUCC